rnacentral:misc_RNA from 1 species
AACCUAGCACACCUGCGGUGUGUACCUGCGGAGGGAUCAUUACACAAUACAAUAUGAAGGCUGUCCGCAGCUGGAGUAUUUUAUUACCCUUGUCUUUUGCGCACUUGUUGUUUCCUGGGCGGGUUCGCUCGCCACCAGGACCACCAAAUAAACCUUUUUUAUGCAGUUGCAAUCAGCGUCAGUACAGACAAUGUAAAUCAUUUACAACUUUCAACAACGGAUCUCAGAUCGGAAGAGCAC